GCGGGUAGAAUCCUUUGCA
rnacentral:snRNA from 1 species